rnacentral:rRNA from 1 species
UACGGAGGGUGCGAGCGUUGUUCGGAUUCAUUGGGCGUAAAGGGUGCGUAGGCGGCGCGGUAAGUCGGGUGUGAAAUCUCGGGGCUUUACUCCGAAACUGCAUUCGAUACUGCCGUGCUUGAGGACUGGAGAGGAGACUGGAAUUUACGGUGUAGCGGUGAAAUGCGUAGAUAUCGUAAGGAAGACCAGUGGCGAAGGCGGGUCUCUGGACAAUUCCUGACGCUGAGGCACGAAGGCCAGGGGAGCAAACGGG